rnacentral:rRNA from 1 species
CCUACGGGUGGCAGCAGUGGGGGAUAUUGCACAAUGGGGGGAACCCUGAUGCAGCGACGCCGCGUGGGUGAAGAAGCGCCUCGGCGCGUAAAGCCCUGUCAGCAGGGAAGAAAAUGACGGUACCUGAAGAAGAAGCCCCGGCUAACUACGUGCCAGCAGCCGCGGUAAUACGUAGGGGGCAAGCGUUAUCCGGAUUUACUGGGUGUAAAGGGGGCGCAGACGGCGAUGUAAGCCAGGGGUGAAAGCCCGGGGCCCAACCCCGGGACUGCUCUUGGAACUGCGUGGCUGGGGUGCAGGAGGGGCGGGCGGAAGUCCGGGUGUGGCGGGGAAAGGGGUAGAUAUCAGGAGGAACACCGGUGGCGAGGGCGGCCUGCUGGACUGCAACUGACGUGAGGGCCGAAAGGGGGGGGGAGCAAACGGGAUUAGAUACCCUGUAGUC